AGUCGAACGAUGAAGCUCCAGCUUGCUGGAGUGAAUUAGUGGCGAACGGGUGAGUAACACGUGAGUAACCUACCCUUGACUCUGGGAUAAGCCUUGGAAACGAGGUCUAAUACCGGAUAGGAGCACUCAUCGCAUGGUGGGUGUUGGAAAGAAUUUCGGUCUUGGAUGGACUCGCGGCCUAUCAGCUUGUUGGUGAGGUAAUGGCUCACCAAGGCGACGACGGGUAGCCGGCCUGAGAGGGUGACCGGCCACACUGGGACUGAGACACGGCCCAGACUCCUACGGGAGGCAGCAGUGGGGAAUAUUGCACAAUGGGCGCAAGCCUGAUGCAGCGACGCCGCGUGAGGGAUGACGGCCUUCGGGUUGUAAACCUCUUUCAGUAGGGAAGAAGCGAAAGUGACGGUACCUGCAGAAGAAGCACCGGCUAACUACGUGCCAGCAGCCGCGGUAAUACGUAGGGUGCGAGCGUUAUCCGGAAUUAUUGGGCGUAAAGAGCUCGUAGGCGGUUUGUCGCGUCUGCCGUGAAAGUCCGGGGCUUAACUCCGGAUCUGCGGUGGGUACGGGCAGACUAGAGUGCAGUAGGGGAGACUGGAAUUCCUGGUGUAGCGGUGGAAUGCGCAGAUAUCAGGAGGAACACCGAUGGCGAAGGCAGGUCUCUGGGCUGUAACUGACGCUGAGGAGCGAAAGCAUGGGGAGCGAACAGGAUUAGAUACCCUGGUAGUCCAUGCCGUAAACGUUGGGCACUAGGUGUGGGGGCCAUUCCACGGUUUCCGCGCCGCAGCUAACGCAUUAAGUGCCCCGCCUGGGGAGUACGGCCGCAAGGCUAAAACUC
rnacentral:rRNA from 1 species